rnacentral:lncRNA from 1 species
GCUAAUUCUUGUUAAGGGUUUCAAAUUUAAAUUGGUCCACCGCUAUUUUGUAUUUGAAGGCAGAAAACAAAAUACUCCAAAAAGAGCACCAACAGAAAAAGACGCUAAACAGAGAAGAAGAAUAAGAAGAAGAAGAUAGAGAAGCUCGGAGAAGCUGCAGACAGGGCAGGGACCAGGAAAGGCAAAGGCAGCCAUUAUUCUUUCCUUUCUUCCUUCACCCCUAGCUUCUCCCAUCCUUCAUUUUUAUACAACAUUUCUCUUUUCUCUUCACUCUCUCUCUAUUGCAGAGGGGGAAAAGAAAAGAAAUUCGAGAAGAAAAAAAAAGGGGAAAAAAAAUAAAAAAAAAAGUAGAGGAGAGGAGAGGUGGAAUUGAAAGGAGAAAGGAAGUAGAAGAUCGGGGAGCUUCUUCUUCUCUCUGCAUUUCUUUUUCUUUCUUCUUUUCUGUGCGGGGAUCGAUCUUACCGCUUCCCAUCCAUUUCUCCGUCAUUGUCUGCAUAAGUAAUUCCACCAAUGGAGGGUUCUGGCUUUUCGGCUUCGGGAUCUGUCUUCUCCUUCACCGUCUUCUGUUGAUCUUCUCCGUCUCAGGUUGGUUCGUCUGCCACUUUCUGUUCGCAUUUGAGUUUCCACUUUUUUUUCCGUGUUUGGAGAAGCUAGGGUUCGGUGCAGAUCUAUUGGAGUUGAAUAGUUUGCUGUUGGUGUUUCCGGUGAGCUGAUCGGGUGCAUUGUUGGUGUUUGGUUAUGAAUGGCGGAAAUCUUUGGCGAACAUUCCUAGGGUUUUUGUUUUGUUUGGUAGCUCGUGUAUAGUAUAAACAAAGUUAGGUGGUUGCGGACUUCAUCCUGAUUCUCAACUUCGAUUCAGCCAUUCUCACGUGUGAAGCUGAACUUCCGUUGGACUUUUUCUCGUAGAAUUAGUAUAUUUAUUAUUGAAGAAUUUGGGAAUUCAGGGAAUCAUCGAUUUCAUAUUUUGUUUGCUUCUCUUCCUGCUACGAAUGUAACGAAAAAAUAUUCAAUAACAAAGAAGAAAAAUUGAAGUUAUAGUUCUUGGGUGUAUACAGCGUAUGCAUCGUUGCUCUUCCUGUUAGUUAUUCCUUUGAAGCGUUUCUAGGUGACUGCAUUUCUUGUUGGCACUUUGUUCGUCUCCUUCUAUAGAUAUCCUGGUGUAGUAAAUAUUAAACAUGUCAGCGAAUAUGGCUAAAUUUCUUGUCUUCAAAAAAAUCAGGANNNNNNNNNNNNNNNNNNNNNNNNNNNNNNNNNNNNNNNNNNNNNCUGCUUCUAUUAAGUGGUUGUUCUUCGUCAAUUUCUCCAAGCAGAACGCAUGCAUUCAUCAAAAUUUUCAUAGCUCUGAAUCGUGGAAGUUCUGGGCUGGGUGCAGGUAGUGUGAAGUCACUGGUUGACUGGUUGAACAAUCUGUUCCCGUAUCUAAAUUUACCCUCUGAAACAUCCGGGGAGGAGCUAAGAGAUUGCUUGAUUGAUGGUACUGUCCUGUGCAGCAUCUUGAACAAACUGAGACCUGGUUUGAUUGAUAUGGUAAAGGUGCUUUGAUUUUUCCUUAAAGACACGUCCCACUUACUUUCUGGAUCUGAACAGCUAGUGUCCCUCUUUUUACUUUCAAAACAACGAAAGAGAGCCAGUUUCAGGCCUGGUGUGGACUAUCUCAAAACGUUUCUAGAUGCAAUGGAUGAAAUGGGCCUUCUUAGGUUUGUACUUGAGGACAUACAACAGGUAUGGAGCUUUACCUUAUCGGAGCUCAGUAAAGUUGCUUGUAUUGCAUGUCUGACUUGCAUUUAUAAGUCUAUAGGCAUUUGAUUUGAUGAAAUUGUUAGCAUGCCACAGUCGUUUGGACCUUGAUCUGGGGCCAUAAGGUCAUAUUUAUUCCACACGUUCUACUUUUCUAUUCCUUCUGGUAGUUGAAUGCUUGAUGAACCAACAACUGACUCCAUCCCAAAUGUAGAAGAUGGUAAAAAGAGAGGAAGAUCAUAGAGAAUCAAACAAAAAAUUUUUACAAUUAACAUCCCAGACAACUUUGGUUGCAUGUUGGAAUUGCUUUUGCUCAUUCUCAACCACUAUUUCCAGGGUUAUAUGUUGCCUGUACUGCAAUGCCUUGGGACUCUGAAGGAGCAUUUAGAAAAUGUAGAUAUUCAUAAUAAUUCAAGAAGGAGAUGGAAUGUGCAUGAGGUGGAGCUUUCUAACAGAGCUGAUCAUUCUCAACGUGAUUCAUCGUUAGGCUUGGAGAACUCAACUGUUGAUGGUGAAGAAAAGCAAAGGAGUGCCUCUGAUGGCUCAGAUCGACUUGGUCUGCCAGGUUCUGAUUCAUCAGGUAUUUCAGCAUAUUGUUUUCAUUAUAAUGUACUGAACUGAUACUUGGUCUGAACGUCAUCAACAUUGGCAUCGUGGAAAUGCCAUAACCAUAGUAAAGCUUAGGAGGCUUCUUGAUAUUCAGUUCAUCCAGCUGUUUUAUACUUUAUUCAGCUUUGAUGUUGGAAAAAAUGGAUGCAUUUCUUCUGCCUUGGGAUCGGUGGAUAGAUGAAUUAUUUGUAGAUAGGUGGUUUGGUUGACUGUUUGCCGUUUGUUCAUAACAUGGCCCACUUUGUUUCCAGCCUACAUGUAGUUAGUAGAUCCUUCUUUCUCUAUAAGGAGUUGCCGUUGAUUAAAUGGAAGUAGUGAUUGAUUCAUCUAGCUUUGGGCAUAUUCACUAUGAAACUGAGUGGCUCUCGUUUAAGGUGACGGGUGUAUAUGUAACUAGUCUUUUUUGUUGCGUUAGCUUCAGCCCUUUUUAUUAUUCUUGGAGAUGAACAAUAUGCAUACAUGUGUUUAUACCCUAGACAUUUUUUGUGGUUGUGUAUUGCUGGGACGAUGGUUGUGUUUCUCGUAUAUAUGAACAUUAUAUGUAUGUUUAUUUGAGGAAGGAGAUAUUCUCGUGCAAAUUAUUUGUGCUCUUUGUUUAUGGUUGUUUCUCUUUCAGAACCGUCUCAUUCACUGGUAAAUGAUGCUGGAAAUAAGUUGUCCGAGGUGCUGAAGCAGGGUUUAUCAGCUGAGUGCUCAGGUGAUAACAUUGCAGAGCUGAUAAAGUUUAGCACAGUGGAUGUAAGUUGAUCAACUCUUCCAGGCGUGUAUCCCUGUAUAGAAAACCUGAUAUGGAACUACUCUUGUUCUUAUCGCCUAUGAAGAUUUCCUCUCAUGUCUCCGUAACUUUUUCUGUGGCAGAAUACAUCAACCCGUGCAUUGUUCGAUUUUCUCAAUAAGAUACUUGAUGAGAGCAUUGACAAAAAUGAUGGCCAUGUUUAUCAUGUACGAAGAUGAGAAAUUCAUGGUUUUUAAUGCUUUUCGUUGACAGCUACUUCAUUGUUAGAUAUUUCUAGUCAGCAAUUCUCCUUUUGCUAAUCAUAUAACCAAUUGUGUUUCUAAUCCUCUUCAAACACAGAUGGCUAGGAUGUUGAAGCAAGUCGUCCAAGUUAUUGAACAUAGAGUGUCUGCUCAAGCAGAAAACAUGAAAGAGGUAAUACCCUGGAAAAUCUUAUUUCAUUUUCUAUUCCCCGUUAGUGUUAAUGUAUGUGCCUUGCUACAUAUAUAUAUAUAUAUAUAUCAAAUUCCCUGGCUUAUAAAUGCUCAUUUGGCAUGUUGUCUACAGCAAAACAAUCUUUGUACGGCUCGCUCUGGAAAGUACCAGUCAAGAGUAAAAGUAUUUGAGACCAUAGCUUCCGAGAGCACAGAAGAAAUUGAGGUGCUUUUGCUGCAAAGUUUGUUUAAGGUUGUCGUUUCCCCUAGUAAGGUUGCUAAAUGAUUUUGUUUAUUUUGCCUUGGCGCAGGUUUUGUUUUCACACCUAAAACAGAUAAAGGUUUGACCUCAUCAUCCUCAGCCUUUAUUUCUAGUUGAUAUCAUGUCCAUACCAAUUUCUGCAAUUGAACUCUGCAUUUUUACAUUGAUCGUAGCAUCUCUUUUGGUGACAAGUUGAUAUAUGCUUGCUUCAGUAUAAGAGAAAGAUUGUAUUCUGGACCCUCCCUAAUUUUUCUCUUACAAAAUAUCCGAGUGGUGUGGGAAAUAUCUUUACCAGGCCACUGCCUUUGUAACUACCUGUCACCAUUAUUUUAAAUAUAGAUGUGACUUCCUUUUAGGUUAAAUGCUGUUAACGUUUAAAAAGUUUACUAUAAUCACUCUGUUUUAGCAAGUAACAUAUGGAAAGGCUUUGAUAAGAUGUCAAAGUGUCCUUGUCCAGAGUACCUUCUAUGUGAUCUUCACUUUAUUUAUUGCCCGUGUUUCAUGUUGCAGAUUGAGAAAGCUGAAAUAGAAGAAAAGGAAAGGCUCAAAGAACAGGAUUUGGUUAGGUUGAAGCAAGAUAACAUCUCUCUGCAGAAUGAGAAAUCUGCUCUAAAACAUGAACUGGAGACAUUGAAGAAGGCGCAUGAAGGGCAUUGCUUACAGUUAGAAGCACAGGCUAAGCAAAUAGCACAUGCGUUGGAAAAGAAGUCACAUGACCUUGAGUGUUCUCUGAUGGAGUCAACGAAGCGGGUGAAACAACUCGAAUCCUUCUCAGAAUCCAAAUUUGUAGGAUUGAAGAAGAAAGAGGAGACCUUCAGAGUCUUCCUUGGUAAUCAGCAGAGAGUUUUACAGGUUUGCUUUAAGAAUCAAUCUCUCAACCUGUGGUUCUAUUGGUUGUAAAGGAUGCUGUCCUCAUAUGUUAUAUUGCAUUGCUAGGAACUGAGAGCAGCUUAUGCAUCUAUCAGGCAAGAAGUUAGGAUGACAAAAAGAAGAUAUGCAGAGCAGUUUUAUGGCUUUGGUAGAGCUAACCGUUUCACUCAUUUUGGCUGCUCUGUAUUGAUAGACAUCAAUUAUUUUCUCAUGAUGUAUAUGUUCUGUGCAGGAGUGGAGCUUGAAGGAGUAGUGCAUGCUGCUGAGAAUUAUCAUUCUGUUCUUGCAGAAAAUAGGAAAUUAUACAAUGAGGUUCAGGACUUGAAAGGUAUAAUCUAUCACUUACUUCAUAUCGCCUGCACGAUUUGUUGCUGAUACCUGUUUUCUAUGUCUUCACAGGGAACAUUAGAGUUUAUUGUAGGGUAAGGCCAUUUCUCCCCGGCCAAUGCAAGAAACUAACGACAAUAGAGUAUAUGGGGGAAAAUGGCGAGUUACUAGUCUCAAAUCCAUCAAAGCCGGGGAAAGAUACACAUAGGAUGUUCAAAUUUAAUAAAGUUUUUGGUCCAGCCGCUAGUCAAGGGCUGUACUAUAUUCCUCAAUAAGAUGCUACAUCUUGUUUUUCCUCUUUCCAAAGUUUUUCCAGUAUAUGUUAAUUAGUGUAUUAACAUUGUGAUGGUUUGCAGAGGAAGUAUUUUUGGAUACUCGGCCUUUAAUUCGGACCGUUCUUGAUGGAUUUAAUGUAUGCAUUUUUGCUUAUGGCCAAACUGGAUCAGGAAAGACAUACACAAUGGUAUGUUAGUCGAUGAUGUAGUGCUGUUAUAUUUUGUGCAUGUGUGUAUUUUCAAAUGUUAUUCAAAGUAAUUAUCUUUUUCUUAUAUCUUUAUCUGUUUAUCUGUUUCCCAGAGUGGGCCUAACAUAUCAUCAAAGGAAGGUUGGGGAGUCAAUUAUCGAGCGCUACGUGACCUUUUUCAAAUUGCUCAAAGCAGGAAAAGCUCGGUUACAUAUGAGAUUGGUGUUCAAAUGGUCGAGAUCUAUAAUGAACAAGUUCGUGACCUUCUCACAUAUCAUGGUGCACAGAGAAGAUAUCCUUUUAAUUGAUUCAAUUUUCUACUCGUACAUUAAAUUUGGCUCCGUGGUUAUCUUCUAGCUCUUUAUAAUGGCAUCUUUUAAGUGAUAUCCGUCCAAUUGUUUUUGUUAUCACUUUAGAUUGACAUUAGUCUUAUUAUCCACAUUGGAAGAGUUUAUUGACUUCAAUCUGUUCUUUAAACUCGUCUUAUAAAUUGGAAGCACUCUGAGAUACUCUAGAUUGACUUGUCUGAACUGCCUAAUUAUUCUAGAUGAGGAGAUUUGCCGAGUCUUUAGUUUAACUUUGCAUUGGAUAAUGUUGAUAUAUCCCUUAUUAAUCUAUCAAAAUCUAUGCUACUCAUGUUUCAAUGCAAGUGUGGUUUCAAGUUCCCUUUCUCUUUGCACAACAGGAUAAUAGUACUUUCAUUUGAGUUAACCAUCUUUUGGAUGUAUUAAAUGUUUUCUUUGACUGGCACACACUCGGGAUUUGGAGCACAACCCAGCCAAAUGGGUUAGCUGUCCCUGAUGCCAGCAUGCAUCAAGUUACUUCGACAGAAGAUGUAUUGGAGUUGAUGAAUAUCGGGUUGAUGAACCGUGCUGUUGGUGCCACCGCCUUAAAUGAAAGAAGUAGUAGAUCCCACAGGUUUGCCUCUUUAACAGUAUUGUUAUGUUGACAUUGGGUUCGUAAGUAAUUACUAUUGAGGAGUUGCGCACAAUCAAUUUUUGCAGUAUACUCACCAUUCAUGUCCGAGGCAUGGAUUUGGAGUCUGGUACUCUGUUACGAGGGAAUCUACACUUGGUAGAUCUUGCUGGCAGUGAAAGAGUGGAUCGGUCUGAAGUGACUGGAGAUAGACUAAGGGAGGCACAGCAUAUAAACAAGUCCCUCUCUGCGCUUGGAGAUGUAAUAUUUGCCCUUGCACAGAAAAGUCAACAUGUGCCGUACCGAAACAGCAAACUUACUCAAGUCCUUCAGAGUUCUCUAGGUAUUAUUUUGUUUUGCUGAACUGGCCAGUAACAUGUUCAUCAUUAUGCAAAUCAAAUUAACUCCAUUUUUGCUAAUUUCACAUUUUAGGUGGUCAAGCCAAGACACUUAUGUUUGUGCAGCUUAAUCCUGAUAUUGAGUCGUAUUCUGAAACUUUGAGCACUCUGAAGUUCGCUGAGAGAGUUUCUGGAGUUGAGUUGGGAGCUGCAAAGAGCAAUAGGGAGGGAAGAGAUAUUAGAGAACUUGUGGAUCAGGUAUUAUCUCCCGUCCAAAAGAACAUUGCUAUGCUUUUGAAGAAACUACUUGGUCCAAGGUGUAAGUUUAUAAAAUAAAUUUUUGUAGGUCACAUCGCUGAAGGAAACAAUUACAAAGAAAGACGAAGAGAUUGAGCGGUUGCAGCUGCUCAAGGUUAAUGUCAAUGGCACAAGGUCUAUCCGUAAUGAGUCCUCUCCAAGAAGAUUUUCAAUUGGACAUUUGCAGCACAGCCCUAAAUCUCCUGGAAGGAAAACCGCACCACUCUCUGACAAAGAAAUAGACAUCUGCUCCGAAUACGGUGAAAGAACUUCUGAUACUUUUUCACUGCAGUCAAUGGACGAGUUAAAGCGGCAUAGGGGACAUUUAGGACAUUCAAAGCCAAUGACUGAUUUACCAAGGGAAGCAGAGCAUCUGGCUGAGUCCAAGCUUGCAGGAGCAAAGGGUGGCCAGAAUCCCACGGAAGAAGCUGCACUCUUCUGUAGUGGAGGUGGAGAUUCCGAUGAAAGAAUAAGUGACAUAUCGGAUUCCGAUGAGAGAAUAACUGAAACUGAUGAUUCUUCAGGCAGUGCAGUAGAACAUGCACAUUUCACCGAACCUGCAAGACAAAUGGAACCUGCAGGUUUGGCUCAAGCUGCAAUCUCAUCUAGGAUUGUGAAUUCGGUAGCAACCUCCAGACGAUAUGGUAACCUAGCACAACCUUCAAGAUCUUCUGGAGCUGGCAGUCCAGCUGUAGGUACAGAAAGGUGAGUAGCUGUUGGUUUGCUUCACAGUCGUUCACUUUGUUUUAGUUGCACAUAUGAUUUAGAACUGCUACUGAUUUGGGUUUUCAUUUGUUUCUCCAGGCGCGGUGUUAGUUCGAAUCUUCCAAAACCCUCUCAAAAGGUGCCACAAACGAGAGUAUCUCGCUUGUCAUUGCAUAAACCAGCUGCAACCACCACAAAGUUUCAAUCAAGUAUGUAUCCAUCAUCUAAUUCCCUAUUCGUUUCUGUGGUAGCUGUAUCUAACCUCUGUCUAUCUCUUUCUCCCUUUUUUUCCCUCUAAGCAGCUCCUCCGAACUCUAGAAAACCUGCAGCUACAGCCGGCAACUCCUCAGCGAGCAGAUCAAUCAGGGCAACGGGGGGGCAUCAGAAAUGAAAAGAGUCCCUAAGUUUGUAAUCCUAACUUCUAACUGUAAACUUUGUAGCUUUGUGUGUUGUCUAUUGGCUUCCAUUCAUCUCAUGGAAUCAAAGGAUAGGCAUACUAAUGAUCUCUAUGUAGAAUGAAAAGUGUUGUAUAUACUAUCUAGUGUGAACUUUAAAAGGAAAAGAAAGGAUCUGAGUGUGAGGUCUCCCUCACCAAUGUUUUUGUUUUGUAGAACCGAAAUUGUUGUAUUAUGAAAACGAAGAAAACAAAAAGACUAAGAAAGUAGAAAGCACUAAACAAAACAACUGGAAUCUGCUUAUCCUAUUUGAGUUAUAGCUACUGAUGUUCAUGUUUCACCAUGGCACUGGAGCCCUAUUGGUAUUGGCAGGCGAACCGGUUCCCCUGGACGUGGCAUUUGGAAUUUAUGAUCGAUACCAUAGAUGUCGGUUGUUGAUGUCUUCAAAUCAAACACAUGAAUGUUGAAAUAGACAGCGGCACAUUCAAUUACUUCUUCAGCUUCCAGAAAAUAGAUGCAGUUCCUUUUGAUCCCAAGUAGCUCAGUGGACUCUUCCGCUGGAACUGGAACUGAAAAUGGCUGGCCGAAUCCGACGAUCACAGCAGCGUCUCCGAGAUCUCUCAACUCAACCCAUUGGUUCAGUUGUGUGUCAAGUUUAUACACAUCAAAGCUGCGAUGUGGAGGCGUGAUUUGACGUACCAGCAGGAUUUGGCCGUUGAAUUCCACCAGAUAGUUGCGUUUAUUGUCAGAUUUGAAAGCUUCAAUCUGAGAGCUACUCGCCACCUUCUUCUUCUCCACGAAUCCCGAGUCGAAAUCGCAACAGUAGAGCUCGCCCGCACGCAGCAAAACGUAGAGACUCCGAACCAGGCAGAGUGCAUCAACAACAUAAUUCAGCUCCCCCUGUUGGAAGUCUGUAAAGUCCACAAUUCCCCAGUCAGAAUCUCCGACUCUGCAAUACGUCAGGAAUUUCUCCAGAGGCAACACCACGAAGACAUACCAUUCAGAAAAAGAGUGGUGGGGACUCCACAUUGAGACCUUCCUGUUAUACCAGAACCCCCAAGUCUGAAACUCAAAGUGAUUAAUGCUCUUCCUGGAAUUCUUGGGAAGCGAAACUUGCGAACCGGUGAUAGGGUUCCGCAGCGCCAAAUCGGUCUCAUUAUAGUCCAGAAGGAGCAUACAUCCUCUGAAGGAUCCGAUGCAGAGGCUUCUCUCUGGCAAACUCCAUGGAAGAAGUAUGUGGUUUGUCGUGUGGUUCAUCUUGAAACUGCCAUUCUUAUUAUGAUGCUUGAUUAUCUCCGUUAGCGGUAUGUAGUAUCGGCUGCUGUUGCUGCAUGGCGGCUGUUGUGGUUCUGGUGGAAAAGUAGUAAUAACUAAGCCAGGAAUCUGCCGCUCAACGAUGCGGCGGCGUUCCUGUAGACCGACCAGUCUCCAGGAGCGGCAUACACUGCUGAAACGGAUGUUGGCGGAGAAAUCGAGGUCUUUCUCGGCUAAUGAACGAAGGAGUUCGUCAGGGAGAUUUUGCCAAUCCGCCAUUGUUUUUGUUUUCAAGAGGGGCUGAAACUGUGAAGAAGUAUUGGGAACAACGUGGUAUUUGUGUUGGGGGUUUGGUUUUUCCUUAGAGAAUCAUUUUUCCAACUUAUUUAUGAAGCUACUAAUCAGCAUAUUUAUAUUUAUGCACAUACUAUAUUGGUUUUCUACUUUAACAGAGAUUAGUAUCGUCCUACUUAAAUUGCGUAAUACUACAGGAAAUAUGAAUUCGGAUUUCUGGAUCUUAUUCGAAUAUGAGUUAUUCUGGUGGUAAAUCUGUGUGUUUGGUGACUUAGAGGUCUCGAGUUUGAAUUCAACUCAUCUCAUGAAAUGGACACCAAUGUUAUGUUUACUUUCUGUCUUCUUUUGUAUUGACCGAGAGUGUCUCGAUCUACUCUGAUAAAAAACAAUUAAUUAUUGAUAUAUUUAGCAUUUGAAUCGAUUAUAUCUAACUCUAUAUUAAGUGUUUAUAGCUAUUUGAGACUGAGCAUUGAAGAUGGUCUAAUGUUUGGAGGUAAAGUGUUAAAUUAUAACACCGAAUGUGCUCUAAUGCAACAUCCUAAAGUGUCAAAAUGCUAUAAAACUCAAAAUUGAGUAUCAAAUUUAGCUCAAUGAUCUAACGGCGGUCUGUAUUCGCAGAGAGAGUUUAUGGGGGAUUUGUGAUUCUUUUUCGUCUUCUCGUCGUUUUUAUUUUCGCUGUAACUUUUUUAUUUUAAUUCCGAUUUGGAUAAUUUUAUAUUAAAAUUUUUAUAUUUCAAAGAUGAAUAUAACCAGAUCAAUUUUAAUAGUAUUCCAUAACUUAUAAACCUACUUAAAAAGUCAAAUUUAGCACUUUGAUUUGACACUUUAGCACGCAUCAUUGGAGCAGAAACACUUUUCAAAAUGCUACCAAAUUUAGCACUUUAGCACUUACCAUUAGAGAUGGCCUUAUGAAGUUCCACCAAGUUCAACUAUUUAUUUAAAUAAAGAGUAUUUUUGUCAUUUAAUUUUUAAUUCUUUUUCAUAAUUAUCUGCCACAUUAUCGCCAGAGUGUCACAUAAUCGCCGCCCAUAAGUCUCCGACGAAUUUUUCGGUGAGUCUUUAGCGACUUUUCCAACAAACCCCUGAUUAUUUUGCCGAUAAAAAUUUAUAAUCGGUUAUAUUAUAAUCCAUUAUAAUUAAUUUUAACAAGUUGGAAUAACGUGAUGUUGGCGGUGUAGGGUAUUUGUGGUAGUGAACCGUGUGUGGCCUCUUUUCCUUUUAUAGUAGUUUUGAGAUUGAAUUAUCUAGGCAAUUGAUCCAUCGUGAGCAAAUCCGAGCCUUUGGUUAUUGUCGAGUGGUCUUUGUGUGUGGUGACUCUACGCUUUUGGGGCCUUGAUUUUAUGGUCAGUACCCUAGGGCCCAUCAGGAGCUGCUAAAGAGAUAAGAGUCCGGUCCAACCGAAUCCCCUUGACGCCUUGGGCUUAUUUUUUUGGUUGAGCCCAAAACUUAAGUUUGAUUGAAUUCAUUAACUUUACUCCCCAGUCAUUCAAUCCACGAAUAUCCUGAAUUUGCAGAGCAGCGAUGUUAUAUUUGAGACAAAACUGAAGGAUUCUGUCGGUCAGUGAGACCAAUAAAACCCACACGCAUUACAUAAUUUAUAAUACGGUCUAAUUAAUUUUGGAAUCCAUGCAUGUGAACAUGCAGACUGCAAUCAACCCAGACCCCACAUGGAAUUAGUAGAAAUAUAUAGCGUAACACAGUCCUCUGACAAAUGAAUAUCACCAGCAACAGCAAUGAACCACCAAUCUCUCCAGGACUAUAUUUUCCACUUAAUUUCUUUUCUUUUUUAUGAAAACUUAAUUUUAUUUCAUCAAAAACCACCUUCGGUCCCAUAAAAAAUUUAUCUACUGAAUACAAAAAAAACUUCAAAGACAAUAUGGAAGCUCGCCUGAGCAAGGCCGAGAAGAAAUUAAAACAGAAAACUAACUAAUUCUAAUCAGGUGCAGGCAAUCAGGAUCUUUUUUUCUUUAAUUCUUGAAUUAAUUUUGGCGUGGUCUGAGAUAUCACGUAUCAAGUCAUUUGUAUUGACGUGAUUCCCAUAAAAACAUGAUUACAUCUCUCCUUUCAAAUCGAUGAAACUGCAAGCCAACAAAUAAGACGUUUUGUUUUAUAGAUCUUUGAUUUACCACUCCAAAACUAACAUGCAUUUUUGACGUGUUCUUCUCAGUCUUCCCAUCUUGCAAACUUUGGGAAUAAAGAGUUAAACAUAAUCGAGUGUAUCUGCAUCGAAAGAAAGAUGCUCUCUCACAUCCACACUUUGAUUACACAAAACGUAGGAAAUGUCAAUUGUGAUCAUCCAUUUUGCAAACUUUUCCUUAACUGCAAUUCUAUCCUUCAUAACCAACCAGUAGAUAACACUCAAGCUUGGAAUCUGCCAACCAUUCCAACCUAGAGUAGCCCAAUUCACUUCAGCUUGAUGUUGCCUAAUACUUUCCCAAACUCGAUGCAAAUUAAAAUGCGGCAUAGUUGCUCCAUCCCACAUUAACUCACCAGAAACAUCAGUAGAUAUAUGAGGUCUAACCUUGUCUCUCAUUUUCAGAACUCUUCUCCAAAACCAAGAUUUAGUGAAAACCUUCAUUGUCCAAAGAUCCUUCUGCUUAAUUCUGUACUUGUAAAUCCAAGCAACCCAUGAUGAUCCUAGCCGAACAAACAAUGCCCAAAAGUGUCUGAUUAUAUUAGCAGCAUUCCAAGAAUACAUAUCUUUAAUUCCAAUACCUCCUUCCUCUUUUGGAAAGGUAAGAAUGUUCUAAGCAACUUUACAACGACCACCAUCAAGCUUUCCCCAUAAAAAGGGAUUGCAGAAGCUUUCAAUAUCUUUAAGGAGGAUUUUAGCUAGUACAAACACCGACAUCCAAUAUUGGAGGGUACCUCCAAUGACAGGAUUUUUUCAACAUAGAAUAGACUUUUAGCUUUCCAAUUUGUAAUACUCAAGGUAAUUCUAUCAAAGAGGGUCUGGUAGUCAGAAUACAUUACAAGAAAAUAUGGUCGGGUUAAUAGAUUCCCUUGUGGUGGUCACACAACCGCCACUAUUGGAAUAACACUGUAGUGCUUCGGUAAUGGAGGUUAAAACCUCCACUAUGGAACCUCUACAAUUAGUUCGCAUAUAAGCGAUCCUUCAACUUUAGCCCAAAUUUCAGUAAGGAGAUAUUGAAUACAAAACUCUAACUCGUAAACGCAUCCAACCUCCUUCUCUUCCUUCGUCUGACCCGACUGCCACCACCAUCAAGGUAAGUUUUGGUGCUCGUCCGUCCCUCUCUCAUCCGACCACCACUGCUAGUGAAGCCAGCUUGAACAUAUGUCUGUCCUCCUCCUCCGUCCACCCGUCUCUUAUCCAGUAGUCACCCCCAACAACGCCGUUUUCUUCCGUUUCUCUUCCCCUCUUAUCUGUCCGGCAGUUCCUCCUUCCUCUCUUUUGGCUCCAGAAUCGUACGAUGACCUUCACUUGUGAAAAGUGCAGUAAGAAGAGGAAUAGAAGAAGGAGAAGAUAGAAAUUGUGUUCUAUGUAUAUUGAUAAUCUGCAGUACAACUCAAAUAUAUAUAAGUUAUGUGUUAUAACCCUACAUCGACUACAUUAGCUAUCAUGGGUUGGGCCUAUCUAUCACAUCUAUCUAUCUCGUCUAAGUCAUGCACGCCGAUCUUGUCAACCAGAUGACGAAGUCGAGCUUAUCCCAAAGCCUUGGUGAAAAGAUCAGCAAGUUGGUCUUUAGUGUUGAUCUUUUGUGGACUGAUCUUCUUGGAAGCGACUCUUUCGCGUACAAAGUGGCAAUCCAUUUCAACAUGCUUGGUGCGCUUAUGAAAAACUGGAUUGGAGGCGAUGUGUAAUGCAGCUUGAUUGUCACAGUACAACCUCAUACCGCCUCCUCAACUCCCAGAUCCUUGAGCAAAUGUCGUAACCAAAUGGUUUCGUUCACGGUUGUGGCCACGGCUCUAUACUCAGCUUCAACCGAGGAACACGAUACAACCUAUUGCUUUUUCAUGCACCACGCAAUCGUCGAGUGAGUGCACAACCAACCCAAUCGGUAUCGCAGUAUGCGUCCAUCACAAGUGAACUUUUCUUUCAAAUGUUCAGCCCUUGUCGUGGUGCUUGCUUAACGUACCUCAACACUCGCUUGGGUGCAUCAAUGUGCUCUUGCUUGGGUGACUCCACACACUGAAACCGGUAGUUUACUGUAACCUGAAUGUCCGGUCGAGUAAUCGUCAGAUAUAACAGCCUUCCAAGAGUCCGCCGAUAAUGCCCAACAUCUCCAUUCGGUGCCUGAUUAGCAUGACCAAGUGUAUGAAGUUGUUUGAGCGGAAAUGGACUCGGUUUAGAGUUCACCAUCGAAGUAUCUUCCAACAUAUCAAGCGAAUACUUCCGUUGACUCAAGGUGACUCUAGUCUUGGUAUAAGCGACUUCGAUCCCAAGAAAUACUUUAGUAGGCCUAUAACUUUAAUGCUGAAUUUAGCAUCCAGCUGAGUUUUUGACCAUCUUAAUGAAGCCUUCAUCACUCCGGUGAGUAUGACGUCAUCAAAAUGAAUGAUCGAUCGUGGAUUGACAGAAACCGAGUUCGAGGAGAAAUCCUGUGAACUUGGCUUGCCAAUUUUGAGAUGCUUGACGCAAACCAUAAAUUGAUUUUCGAAGUCUCUCCAACCGCAGCAAAACUUUCUGGAAUGUGCAUAUAGACCUCUUCAUCGAGGUCAUGUGAAGGAACGUGUUAUUGGCAUCCAACUGAUGCAUGGACCAACCACGUGCCACAACUAUAACAAUCAAACACCGAACUGUCGUGAGCUUUGCAAGUGGUGCAAAAGUCUCAUGGAAAUCGACAAUUGGAAUCUGUGAAACAACACGAGCAACCAAGCGUGCUUUAUACUGCUCCACCUUACCAUUUGGUUUGAACUUAAUUUUGUAAACCCACUUAUUCGAGACCAAGCGCUUUCCCGGAGGUAGGAAUACUAGUUCCCAUGUGCCAUUAGCUACAAGGGCAUUGAAUUCACGUGUUAUGGCUUCUAUCCAAUGUUGAUAACUCGCUGCUUGUUCAUAAGUGAUAGGUUCGGCUUCUGUCGAGAUGGCCGUCAAGAACACUACAUGUUCUUUCAUAAACUUCUCAUAACUCACAAAAUUGGCUAGUGGAUAGAGUAUUUCGUUCGAGUUAUUGACUAGAGCAUCGACAGACACAAGUGACAGCGGGAGUGAAGUGUCAUAAUCAACAAGAGCGGCCGGGAGCUGUCUCACUCGCAUGCUCUUUCUCAAUCCAGGUACGGGCGAAGGAACACUUUCAUAUAUGAAAAUCGGAGGAUCCACCUCAGUUGCGGGAGUAGAAACCUCGACAUCGGGAGCGGAGGACAAUGGCGCAAUCGGUGAGUGUAUAAGAGGUGAGGUAGCAGCUGGUGAUGGAGAGAUUGCUACAUCCUGUUUUAGGAAGGGAAACUCAUGCUCCACAAAAACAGUGUCACGUGAGGUAAUAAUUUGAUGGCGCUUCAAAUCAUAAACCUGAUAUCCUUUUAGUCCAUGUGGAUAGCCGACGAAGACGCCUGACCAUCCUUGUUCACCAAAUUUAUCGACCCCCUUUCGAUUAUUAUGAGUAUAAAUGAGGUAGCCGAAUGUUCGAAGAUGCCCAUAAUCUGGAGUAUGACCAAAAAACCGUUGAUAAGGGAUUUCAUUAGUAAUAGGUUUUGCCGGUAGUCGAUUAAUGAGAUAACCGGCUGUAAGAACACAUUCACCCCAAAACCGAAUAGGAAGUCUAGCUUGAAAACGAAGGACACACGCCAUUUUGAGUAUGUGACAGUGCUCCCGUUCAACUACCCCAUUUUUGGGGGGUAUCUGUGCAUGACGUUUCAAGAAGAAUGCCAUGCACAUCAUACAAUUUCCGAAUGUGUUGGAAUUGAAACUCCAACCCAUUUUCUUCUCGAAUGCGUUUAACCUGCUCAGCAAACUGGGUGGAAGAAUACUCCCAACUUCAGACUUGUGCUUCAUCAAAUAAACCCAAACCGCACGACUAAAAUCAUCUACACUAGUAAAAAAAUAGUGUGCACCAGUUAAAGAAGUUGUUUUGUAGUCACCCUAUAUGUCACAAUGAAGUAAUUCGAAACAACCCUUUGUUUUUAUUGAACAGAUUGCAAAAGGUAGUCUUGUUUGUGUCGCCCGAAUGCAAACAUCACAAAGAUUUAAUUUAUUAAAAGAAUCAAUAUUCUCUUCAACAAAUAAACUACGAAGCUUUUCAAAUGAAGGAUGUCCAAGUCGUCUAUGCCAAAUGUCGGAUGGGAUGCUGCAUUCCUGAGUUAUCAAUAUCGUAGAGUGUAAUUGCGACACCAUGCCGUCCUAGUAAUAGAGUCUACCUCGUUCCUUACCCCUCCCUAUCAAGGUUUUCAUUGCAAGGUCCGACACCACAAAAGAAUCCGAAAAGAAUAUCACCGCAACAUCGUGUGGUUUGGUUAGCUGGCUUAUAGAGAUUAGAUUGCAUUUGAAUUCUGGAACGUGAAGAAGAUGUGACAAAGAAAGAGUUGGACUCAAGUCCACUCGACCACUCCUAAUGACCGGAACACUUGUCCCAUCAUGUAUUUUUACAGCAGGAUGUCCCGGUGUUGGCUGUAAAGUGUUGAGACAAUCACGUUCACAAGUAAUAUGGUUGGUACAACCUGAAUAAUAAAUCCAAGAUAAAGAUCGUGAAUUACACGACAUUUGAAAAUUGUUCGAAGUAGUAUCUCCAAUUAGCGCCUAGAGUUUAGCGAGUUGAUCGUCGGUGAGGUUCCCAAUCCGGGAACUUGACUCCAAGGCCACUACUUGUCCCGCUCGCGGAUUGGACCGACAAUUCGAAUAUGUCAAAGUCGUAGUGAUGCCGGUAUGACCUUUCCAAGAAUGACAUGUUUGUUGGGAAGGGUUACUUGGCUUGUGGACUUUUUGUAAUUAAUUCUGAUUCUGAAAGCAAUGAAAUUACUCCUUCUGUUUACUUGUCAGAGUCUAUUAAUUUCUAGCAUUCUAGAUUAGGACAUGUAAACAAGAGCUCUUUAAAGCUCAAAAGGAAAAUAGAAUUGCUUCCAAAUCUGAUAGAAAAAUCAGAACCAAGCAAAUGUCAAAUCUAUGCCGAGACCUUUUGUUAAGAAACCUUUCAAACCUGUUAGCCACAGACAGUAUGAGCUUCUAGAACUCAUCCAUUCUUACUUAGCUGAUUUUAAAAAUUAUGAGAGUAGAGGAUGAAAGAGAUAUUACGUCAUGUUUGUUGAUGAUUUUUCCAGGUACAAUAAGGUUUAUUUUCUCAGAUCCAAAGAUGACUUGAGCAGAAAUUUCUGGUCUACAAAGCUGAGGUUGAAAACCAAUUGAAUAGGAAAAUCAAAAGAUUGAGGUCUUAUCAUGGAUGAGAGUACAACACCAAUUCUCUAAGGAAAGUAUGUGAAUCACUAUACAUAAUACAUGAAUUCAUAGCUCCCUACUCACCUCAACAAAAUGGGAUAGCAGAGAAGAAGAACAACUCUCUUAAAGAAAUGAUGAACUCUAUGCUGAUUGGUUCUGGUCUAACAAAGAAAAUGUGAGGGGAUGCACUGCUAACUACUAACAAAAUACUCAAUAGAGUGCCCCAUAAGAAGCUUCAAAAGACUCCCUACGAAUACUGGAAGGGUUUGCUCCCAACUUCAAUCACAUUAAGGUGUGGGGUUGUCUUUCCAAGGUUCCAGUUCCUAGUUGCAGGAGAAAAACUGUUGGUUCCAGAACCCUGGAUGCAAUCUUCAUUGGCUAUGCUUCAAACAGUGUAACAUAUAGAUUCAUGCUUCUAUCAGAUAUUACCAUUUGCAAAUCCAGAGAUGCAGAAUUCUUUGAAUCUAUUUUUUCAAUGCUUGAUAGAAUUGAUAAACCUAACUCUUCUGACAUGCCUGCUGAGAGCUCCAACACCCCUGAUGAACCUGAUCAGACUAAGCUCAGAAGGAGCAAGAGGCUGAAUUACAUAAUAAAUUAUUGUGUCAAAAUAUAUAUAUAUAUAAUAUUAAAAUUGAAUAUUAUGUUUAACCUUCACAUAUUUUGGUAGUUAAAUGAAUAUAAUUACUUCAAUGACAUUGAAAGUCACACAAUAAUACAAUUGAAAAGUAAAGAUAUAUGUAGGCACCUAUAAAAGUUAGUUAAAAAAUCGAAUAAAGUUCCCCUAGAAAUAUCUACUAAUAGACAAAAUCUAGACUAAAGAAGCAAACAACUGUACUAUAAACUCUUUUUGAAGAAUAGUUAAGCAUAAUAAACUAUGUAAUAUAAAAAAAAAUGUUAAAAUAAUGUUGAAAGAAGAUCAUGUUAUAUGAACUAUACUUAUGCUUGAUGGUAUGUCCAAUUCAAAAUGACUCAACCCAAUUAAUGUUUUGAAUUGGCUUCAAUUGGACCGUUAAAAGUAUAUUUAAUAAAUGAUCAUGCUAUAUGAGCUUAUGUUUGAUGGAUAUAUCCAAAUUAAACCCAAGACAACCUGAGCAGUGUUCUGAAUUGGCAUGAGAUAAUAACUCGAACGUGAUUAACUUAUGAAAAUGCAGCAUCAACUCGCCCGUUAACAAUUAUUUUUGAAUGAGAGGUCAUAUUAUAUAACUAUGCUUAUCUUUGNNNNNNNNNNNNNNNNNNNNNNNNNNNNNNNNNNNNNNNNNNNNNNNNNNNNNNNNNNNNNNNNNNNNNNNNNNNNNNNNNNNNNNNNNNNNNNNNNNNNNNNNNNNNNNNNNNNNNNNNNNNNNNNNNNNNNNNNNNNNNNNNNNNNNNNNNNNNNNNNNNNNNNNNNNNNNNNNNNNNNNNNNNNNNNNNNNNNNNNNNNNNNNNNNNNNNNNNNNNNNNNNNNNNNNNNNNNNNNNNNNNNNNNNNNNNNNNNNNNNNNNNNNNNNNNNNNNNNNNNNNNNNNNNNNNNNNNNNNNNNNNNNNNNNNNNNNNNNNNNNNNNNNNNNNNNNNNNNNNNNNNNNNNNNNNNNNNNNNNNNNNNNNNNNNNNNNNNNNNNNNNNNNNNNNNNNNNNNNNNNNNNNNNNNNNNNNNNNNNNNNNNNNNNNNNNNNNNNNNNNNNNNNNNNNNNNNNNNNNNNNNNNNNNNNNNNNNNNNNNNNNNNNNNNNNNNNNNNNNNNNNNNNNNNNNNNNNNNNNNNNNNNNNNNNNNNNNNNNNNNNNNNNNNNNNNNNNNNNNNNNNNNNNNNNNNNNNNNNNNNNNNNNNNNNNNNNNNNNNNNNNNNNNNNNNNNNNNNNNNUAAUAAAUUAAUUAAAAUAAAUAAAUAUAUGAAAUAUUAUAUAAUAAAAACAAAAAAUUAUUUGGUUAUCUUUUUCCAACAAAAAGGAAAGUGAUGAUGUAAUAGUUGUUAGAUUUAAGAGGAAGCCUCUAUGGUUGAGAUGUUAAAAAAAAUUUCCUUAUAUUUGCGUAUAUAAUUGUUUAGAUUUCUAUAAAUAAGACUUUAACUCUAUAUAUCUACUAUCUUUAUUAAAACCUCUAGUAUUCCAUAUCCAAAACUUCAUUUACGAUAAUUUCUUCCACCACGACCUCCAUCCCGCAACUUACCUCUUUUAUUCUUAGUCACACUUCCUCCACGUGGAGAAAAUCUCCAAGAGUAAUCGAGGUUGGUUGUUUUGUAUCAUCCUCUUCAUCUUCAUUAUCAGAUUGCUUAUGAACCGGAGUAGCGUGUACUUCCUUACUUCUUUGAGUUUGCUUCCCUGAAUCUUCCGAUUCGGUUAUUUCUACUUUGCCAUUCUCUUGUACUCAAUAGGUUCUACUCCCUGUUUCACAACUAACGCAUUUUUUUAACAUUGAGCUACCCUUCUCAGAUUCCUCAACUAUAACUUCAAUAAGAUCCUCCUGAGCCAAUUCCGAAACCCUUUCAAGCACCUCAAAAUUAUUAAGCAAAUCCAUUGUCAAAUCAUCAAUGGCAAGAGUUUACAGUAUUAUCGUUUUAGGAUUUCCUCUAUUUGCAUUGAAGUUUCAGAUAAUUCACGUAGCAAGCUAACUGUUUAUGUAACAUCUUCCUUCUUAUUACUCUGAGACAGUAUUCUCCAGAGCUUCAUCCUUCUGAAUCACUUUCUUCCUCCAAGUCGGUUUAGGAGCUUCAUAUAAUCGAGUAGUUGGGCAACUCAUAUUUAACUGCACACGCUCACCAUCCUCCAGGAUUAUAUCA